rnacentral:lncRNA from 1 species
GCAGCCGCUUCGGCCCCAUUCGGAAUGCCACAGCACUUGGUCCAGUGUGUUAUAUAACAUGCAGGCAGGGCUUGGACACCAUCCAUUCAUAACAUAGCGAGUGGUUUACAGCCCAGGUUCUGAAUUCAGACUAAUCUGAGUUGAGAUCUCCAUGCACCACUUAAACUUUCUGUAAGGCCUUAGGUGCUGGGGGAAAAGAUUACUUCCCAGAUGCAGUAUUUACAUCUCCUCCGCCCUACUCUUCCAACCCUGCCUGAAAUAAGUGUGGUUCUCCUGUCUGUCAGACUAUGAAGAGUUCUCAAAUAUGUCUUUCCCAGCGAGGGAGAGGAGACAACAGAAACUUCAGCCUCCACGAUCGAUGUUUCUCAAGUGUCAAGGAAAAUGGAGCCUAGGAGGGCAGCCCCACAAGCAGCGUGAUGGGCAUUUAAGCCGACGCAUGUGCCAGGUCCUAGAACAGAGUAA